UAAGGAAUAUUGCGCAAUGGGCGAAAGCCUGACGCAGCGACGCCGCGUGGGGGAUGAAGGUCUUCGGAUUGUAAACCCCUUUCGGGAGGGAAGAUGGAGCGAGCAAUCGUUCGGACGGUACCUCCAGAAGCAGCCACGGCUAACUUCGUGCCAGCAGCCGCGGUAAUACGAAGGUGGCAAGCGUUGUUCGGAUUUACUGGGCGUACAGGGAGCGUAGGCGGUUCGGUAAGCCCUUUGUGAAAUCUCCAGGCUUAACCUGGAACAGUCGGAGGGGACUGCCGGGCUAGAGGACGGGAGAGGAGCGCGGAAUUCCCGGUGUAGCGGUGAAAUGCGUAGAGAUCGGGAGGAAGGCCGGUGGCGAAGGCGGCGCUCUGGAACGUUUCUGACGCCGAGGCUCGAAAGCGUGGGGAGCAAACAGGAUUAGAUACCCUGGUAGUCCACGCCUUAAACUAUGAAUACUAAGUGUCGGCGGGUUACCGCCGGUGCCGCAGCUAACGCAUUAAGUAUUCCGCCUGGGAAGUACGGCCGCAAGGUUGA
rnacentral:rRNA from 1 species